GAUGAAGAACGCAGCGAAAUGCGAUAAGUAGUGUGAAUUGCAGAAUUCAGCGAAUCAUCGAAUCUUUGAACGCACAUUGCGCCCCUUGGUAUUCCAUGGGGCAUGCCUGUUCGAGCGUCAUUUGUACCUUCAAGCUUUGCUUGGUGUUGGGUGUUUGUCUCGCCUUUGCGUGUAGACUCGCCUUAAAAUAAUUGGCAGCCGGCGUAUUGAUUUCGGAGCGCAGUACAUCUCGCGCUUUGCACUCAUAACGACAGCGUCCAAAAGUACAUUUUACACUCUUGACCUCGGAUCAGGUAGGGAUACCCGCUGAACUUAAGCAUAUCAAUAAGCGGAGGA
rnacentral:misc_RNA from 1 species